GAUGAACGCUGGCGGCGUGCUUAACACAUGCAAGUCGAACGAAGACAUCUGAGUGCUUGCACUUGGAUGGACUGAGUGGCGGACGGGUGAGUAACGCGUGGGUAACCUGCCUUAUACAGGGGGAUAACAGUUGGAAACGACUGCUAAUACCGCAUAAGCGCACGGUAUCGCAUGAUACAGUGUGAAAAACUCCGGUGGUAUAAGAUGGACCCGCGUCUGAUUAGCUUGUUGGCGGGGUAACGGCCCACCAAGGCGACGAUCAGUAGGGGUUCUGAGAGGAAGGUCCCCCACAUUGGAACUGAGACACGGUCCAAACGUCCUACGGGAGGCAGCAAGUGAGGAAUAUUGGUCAAUGGACGAGAGUCUGAACCAGCCAAGUAGCGU
rnacentral:rRNA from 1 species